CCAAGUAAAGUGAACAGAAACGUCCACCACAGAAGGCCAUUCUCCAGAUGAGAAAACCAAGGAUCAGAGAACAAAGACUUGGCUUGGAUUACAUAUGCAGGAGGUUCCUGCACAUCUGGCCACACCUACCCUUUCUGGCUCUUUGGGACAUAUGAUGGAGACUGGAGGCUUCCAACUCUGAGCUGAUGCACGGGUAAUGGACAGGGGCAGCUCCACGUCAGUGAGACGUGAUGCAUUAAGAUGCUGAUACCAUGGAAAAAACUGGGAGGUGUGAGCCCCUCCCCAGCCAUCACACACAGGCCAAACAUCUGGUCUGCACUAAGGGCACCUGCCAAAUCUCGCCUGAGGCCAUGAACUCCAGCCCAGGUGAGACGGUUCUGUUCCUUUGCAAGGGUGGCCCCUAGGCCUGGACAAGGCUGAGGUGAGAGUCCGGCUGGGGCUCAGCAGAAGCCUGUGAAUGACUCCGGUUGUGCUCUCACACCAAGACAAAGAAUAGCACUGGCAUCUCCCACCUGAAGUUUCACAAUGGUCUACUUAGCCUUUCUCACCCACAAUCCCACACCAACUCAGGGAAGAAAGACCAGCUGUUUGUUUUCCUACUUGGCAGAGGAGGAAACUGAGGUUCAGAGUGGUCAAGUGACCUGCCCAGAGUCAUACAGCAAGUGAAUGAGAAAGGCAGAAUUGAAACCCAAGACUCAACACUUUUUACCAUCUUUGAAUGAAACAGCUGACCCUAAGCAGGAUGGGCACAUAAGAGGCACCUCUCAUGCUGUGAAUGGCAUCCCUGAAUCAAGAACGCUUCGGGACAUGCAGACAUGCAGCUGGGCCCCUAACUGGUUGCCACUUAUCAGCCGAUGUCUCCUCACUCCUGCCACAAGCCUCUCCCAGUCACAGGGACAAGGGAAUGAUGGUUCCUUACAAGGAAUAGCUGUCAAGAGGCAAGAGAACAGACAUCUCUUUUUCCUGAAUUAUGUUAGAGCCCAGGAGGGAUGUUCAAUCUUCAAGGGCAUGUGCGGACCUACCUAAUGCAACAGCAAUGGAAUAACUAAGAAUUCCCAGGACUUCCCACCUCCCAAAGCCCAAACUAUUGUCUGUGCUGAUGGUAACUGCUCGCUCCAAGAUGAAUGGGCAGAAGCUGGGAUGAAAGGCCCAGACACAUAGGACUGAUAAAGCAAACAGGUUCAGUGUCCAGCAUCCGUAUGGAAACUCCAUAAGAGAACCACCUUUCUACAGGCUUUGGUGUCUCAGCGCGGGAGGCACAGAUGGCGAGGUCUGCCUUUGGCCAGGUGUGGGCGCCCAGUGUUGGGGGAGAAGACUGCAGGCACAGAAGACUGAACUCACAGGCAGAAGGAGAAAGUGAAGAGAAGAGAGGGAGAAGGGCCCUGACCGAGGCCACCAGCUUGUAAGUAGCAGCCCUAGGCUUGGGACCAGGGCCUCCUGAAGGUGACAGUCCUUUCAGCCAUGUGUCCUUGUUCCUCUAGUUACCUCCAAUUAACUCUAGGUAACCCAGCCCAGUCUUUGAUUCUGUGUUGAAAGGUGCGAGGUGCUGGAGCCGGGAAGAGGUGCGUUCUUGCUCUCGACAGGAAGUGUCAUGUGAGUUUCCGGUUCCCUCUCCUCCACUACCACUCUGGAUCCUCACACCAGCCCACAGAGGGAGACAGGAAGGGAGGCACAAAGGCAGGGCAGGGAAUACUGUGCCUGUUUUCCAGAUGAAGACACGAAGGCCAAGAGAGGGAAAGUGAGUCGGCCAAGGUCCUCCAGCUAGUCGGGGUUGAGCGUGUUUAACCUUAGGAAACGUGACUGCAGAGCAAGGGGCUUUCAUCUUCCUGUGGGAAUUCGCCCCCUUUCUCACAGGGGCCCUCAAGAGACUAGGCAGGCUCCUCCUGCAAAGGAUUCCUCUUUGUCCAUUUGAGAGGCCUCACCCCAGGCUCUAGGAGCUGACAUGAUUCAGCUCAAGGAAGACUCAGUAUGAAGGGAGAACCAGGAACCUGGGCCUCUGCCCCUCACCUGUGGCCUUGAACAGGUCACUUCUCCCCUCAAGCCUUGGUGUCCUCCCCUGUAGAGCUGAGGGGGUGAGGAGUAGAUGAGCUGAUCCUUCAGUUUGCUGCCCUCUUUGACCCGGAAGUGCUGGGCCUGCACAACCCUGCAUCCCUGGCACCAGUGCUCCUAGCCCCACCCUGCUCCAGAUGCCCAGUGCCUGAAGAGCCAGCUCCCCAUCAGCACUCAGUCCUGGGGCAGAGCCAGGCCUGGCAAUGCUGGGGGAGACCCUGGAGGGGAACAUCAUGGGCCACCAGGGGCACGCUGCAAAUGCAGCAACUAAUGCACCAGGGGCGCCAGGGUGCAAUCUAUCUAAGCAGUUCUCUCACGCUCUUUGCACGUUAAUAAUGCAUGGGCAGCCGGUGUGGGGGCCAUCACAGGCCCAACGUCAGGUGGCAUUAGGAGGCCUCUAAUGGUCCUGAUUAUCCGGUGAAGGCUCCCAGUGGGAUGUGGGCAGCAUGGGCAGGAAGCCAGGAUUCCGGGCACUUAGACCCCACAGGUGGGAGGCUGGGGGGUGGGGCAAGAGGACAGCUUCCAUAGGCCAGGGUCCUAUUCAGGGGAUCUAAUGGGACUAGCUGAGGCUUCCUGUGGGGGGUGAAUUUGUUUGUGAAGAGGAGCAAGGACGCAACUCCCACAGCCAGAUCACAAAGAAAGUGGGAAGUCAGAAACCCAGGGCUGAGUGAAACCUCUUAAAAUCUCUCCUCUGUGGCGUCUCUGACCAGUGGCUCUGCAGCAAGUGCCUCUAGGGACAAGGAACUCACUACCUCCUAGAGUGACACAUGCCCAUUCUUUGAACAAGUGUGACUGCCGGGAAAAAGGUGUACUGCGUACAGCUGUCAAGAAUGCAAAUGCCACUGAGUGUUGGGGGCAUGGGCAGCUCCGGAGCCAUCAACCUGGCCAGUCUUCACAGCCUACCCCAGUGGCAGACCCCCUGAAUCCACCCCAGGGCCCCAGUAAGCCCCCGUGAACCUGUGAACUUUGCAUUUCUAUGCUCAACACUCAGGGUGAGCAGUCCAGAAAAAACAACCCAUGCACAGCAGGUGCUGGGGGUAGUCAGGCUUCAAGAUGCCUCCAAAUGGUUCUCAUCUCUGAGUAUUCACACUGAAUGGAACUGACCUAUGUAACUAACAGGAUGUCGUGGGAAUGACAGGCAUGACUUCCAUGGCUAGGUCAUAAAGAGAUUGUGGCUUCUACCUUGCUCUCUCUUGGACCCCAGUUGCUGGAGGAAGCCAUCUGCCAUGUCAAACAGCCUAUGGAGAUGCCCAUGUGGGGAAGAAUGGAGGUCCCCUGCCAACAAUCAGCUUUGACAUGCCAAGCCUGUGAGGGAGCCAUCUGGAAAGGGAGUCUUCCAGCCCCAAUCAGGCCUUCAGAUGACUGCAGCCCUGGCCAGCUCCUUGACUGCAACCUCAUGACAGACCUUGAGCAAGAACUGCUCAGCUAAGCUGCUUCUGAAUUCUUAACCUACAGAAAUGUCUAAUGCUUUAAGAAGCAAAGUAUGGGGUAAUUUACCACAUGCAAUAGAUAACAAAACCAUGUGCAAUAAAUACUGGUUAAACAAGUGAAUG
rnacentral:lncRNA from 1 species